rnacentral:rRNA from 1 species
AAGGAUGGCUAAUACCGCAUACGCCCUGAGGGGGAAAGCGGGGGAUCUAAGGACCUCGCGUUAUUUGAGCGGCCGAUGUUGGAUUAGCUAGUUGGUGGGGUAAAGGCCUACCAAGGCGACGAUCCAUAGCGGGUCUGAGAGGAUGAUCCGCCACAUUGGGACUGAGACACGGCCCAAACUCCUACGGGAGGCAGCAGUGGGGAAUUUUGGACAAUGGGGGGAACCCUGAUCCAGCCAUGCCGCGUGUCUGAAGAAGGCCUUCGGGUUGUAAAGGACUUUUGUUAGGGAAGAAAAGCUGGGUGCUAAUACCACCUAGUGCUGACGGUACCUAAAGAAUAAGCACCGGCUAACUACGUGCCAGCAGCCGCGGUAAUACGUAGGGUGCGAGCGUUAAUCGGAAUUACUGGGCGUAAAGCGAGCGCAGACGGUUAAAUAAGUCAGAUGUGAAAUCCCCGAGCUCAACUUGGGACGUGCAUUUGAAACUGUAUAACUAGAGUGUGUCAGAGGGAGGUAGAAUUCCACGUGUAGCAGUGAAAUGCGUAGAGAUGUGGAGGAAUACCGAUGGCGAAGGCAGCCUCCUGGGAUAACACUGACGUUCAUGCUCGAAAGCGUGGGUAGCAAACAGGAUUAGAUACCCUGGUAGUCCACGCCCUAAACGAUGACAAUUAGCUGUUGGGGUACUAGUUACCUUAGUAGCGAAGCUAACGCGUGAAAUUGUCCGCCUGGGGAGUACGGUCGCAAGAUUAAAACUCAAAGGAAUUGACGGGGACCCGCACAAGCGGUGGAUGAUGUGGAUUAAUUCGAUGCAACGCGAAGAACCUUACCUGGUCUUGACAUGUACGGAAUCUCUUAGAGAUAGGAGAGUGCCUUCGGGAACCGUAACACAGGUGCUGCAUGGCUGUCGUCAGCUCGUGUCGUGAGAUGUUGGGUUAAGUCCCGCAACGAGCGCAACCCUUGUCAUUAGUUGCCAUCAUUAAGUUGGGCACUCUAAUGAGACUGCCGGUGACAAACCGGAGGAAGGUGGGGAUGACGUCAAGUCCUCAUGGCCCUUAUGACCAGGGCUUCACACGUCAUACAAUGGUCGGUACAGAGGGUAGCGAAGCCGCGAGGUGAAGCCAAUCUCAGAAAGCCGAUCGUAGUCCGGAUUGCACUCUGCAACUCGAGUGCAUGAAGUCGGAAUCGCUAGUAAUCGCAGGUCAGCAUACUGCGGUGAAUAC